CCCGAUUGGUCUAUUCUUGGAAAGCAAGGGUACUGUAAAUAUCCAUGUACAUGGGUAUCACACACACACACCUGUGUGUGACAACUGGCCUUGUGAAUCCACCUUAGUUCACUUCACUGUUCUUUCACAACUGGACAUGGGGACCAUUUUGAAUUUUUGGUUAUUGUCCAUGUAGUGGUUUUAGAGUUAACACCUGUUUGUUUGAAGAUUUGGGGGCAGUAGGACUGGAUCAGAGAGUCUGGGCACUCUUCAGGCAUGAUUCUCUUCUACAGACUUCCUACUUCAGCAGGAAUUGUCCAGGCAUCUGGGGUUGUUCUACGUAGGAAGUAAGAGGAUGUGCAAUGCCCCUCACUAGCCCUUCCUUCUCAAGGCCAUCUGAGACACCAAGAAAAAUCAAGCCAGGAAAUGAAAAACUCAGUUGAUAUGGGUGGACAGACUAUUUUUAUUAAGACUGUUUUUUAAGCCAUUAGCAUUUUACUUGAUUUUCUUUUCUAGGCAUUAAUGUCUUUCUUUGCUUUUUAAACAAAGUUGCUCUAAUGGACACUUUACACAGAUGACUUCACACCUGCAUCGACCUUGAGCCCCAUAGGGCGCACCUCUUGGGCUUCACGGCACCACGCCCAACACGGGGCUUGAACCCACAACUGUGAGAUCAAGACCUGAGCUGAGAUCGAGUCGGACUCUCAACCGACUGAGCCACCCAGCACCCCAACAUUUCCACGAAUCUAUCAUCGAUAACGUUUGAUGUUCUGAAUGCUGAACGCAAGACCUGUAAGACCCUCAGAUACCUUCCAAUUCAUCAGUGGAAUAAUAAAAUCAAGGUUAGGACAAUAUCUGGAGCAUAUCUGGAGCUAAUAAUUUUCUACUGAAUUUUAAUACAUAGUAAAAUGUGCUUAAAGCAACCAAAAAGCAAUGUGUUCCCUCCAACAAAAAGUACUUUAAAAUCACUUUCAAUACAUGUACGAUGAGAAAACAAUAUUUAUAAUUUGUUCCCCCAAAAAUGUAAUGUAGAAUUGGGGUAUAUUUUAUAUAUCCACACAGAUUAUGUGCCAGGAAAAAAUGGUAGUAACACAGAAAAACUGGAUUUUUUAUAUUUAUGUCUCAGUGGGAAAUCUUUUAUUUUUUUCUUCUAAAUCAUCUUACCCUUCACUUCUGAGUCAGCAUUUACAUGAAUUUCAGGAAAAAGCUGACUGGUUAGGGUGUCUGGGUGGCUCAAUGGGUUAAGCAUCUGCCUUUGGCUCAGGUCAUGAUCUCAGGGUCCUAGGAUCGAGACCUGCAUCGGGCUCCCUGCUCAGAGGGAAUCUGCUUCUCCCUCUGCCACUCCUCUUCCUUCUGCUCUCUCUCUCUCUCUCUCUCCCACUCACUCUUCUCUCAAAUAAAUAAAUAAAAUCUUUAAAAAAUUUAAAAAAAAAGUUGACUGGUAAACAUGCUACUUAACCUAUCAGCCCCCACUUAGAUGCGGAGUCAUUCUAGACAUACAGGUAUGUGAUCUAUUUUUUGAAGACUGCAUUAAGAGAACAGGUCUGAGGAGGUGCUUUUCUGGAAAGAUCAGAAAGUGCUCAUUGGCUCUGCUUCCUCAACUGUAGACAGACCGGGUUAACCACGAUUAGUUGGCCGGGUCUUUGGCAAAUAGCUUCAGAAAUGAGCCCAGCCCUCCCGCAGGUCUCGCCAUACUCUCAGAAAUAGAACAUGAUGACGCCAGGCCACAGAGAAGAAAAGAACCAAUUCGUGUUGAUGCUACCUCGCCUAUCUUUCUCUGAGGAAAGCUGAAGGAAACCAAAAUUUUUGUGCUAAACAAGCACUUGAAAUGCUUCAUCUUUUUAAAUCCUAACUGUACAUGGGAGUAAGAUGCCAACCCCGUUCUAUGAAUGAGGAACCUGGAUUUCAAAGAGGUUCAUUUGCCCUUGGUUUUCCAUUGUCGACUAGCAUUUACUGAGUACUCAUUCUGUGCCAGGAUCGGUAGAAUUUGCUUACUUUCAUUUAAUCUUCAAAAUCGUAUUUCUCAGAGAAAGAAACUGAGACUAGAAACUGUUCAAACUUCUACAGUCUUAAGAAAGCCAUCGAUGAAAAAAACAAAACAACAACAAAACAAAAACAAAAACAAACAAAAAAAAGAAAGCCAUCGAUGAGGUUCCUUGGAACAAACGGAGCAACAAGAGACAGGAGUCAGAAACACAAAGAUCAAAACACCGUGUGGAAGACCGGAGGCCAAGUGAAUGAAGAGCCCUCCCCAAAAUGUCACAUAUCCAAACUCACACAGCUUGUAAGCAGAGGAGGUGGGAUUUGAACUCUAUUCUGCACGGCUCCAAAGCCCGGAAUCUUAUCCACCACACUGUCCUAUCCUUAGUCUUUCUCUCCUUUAGAGAAAUAAUGGGAUAACAAGGACAUCCUACAAAAACAAGUUUCAUCCAUUCAAAUCUUGGUGACCUGUAGGGGAUUCUAAUUAUUGUCACUAAUGGGUUAACUAUGGGUUAAUUAGUACUUCAAAUCUUUUCAUUAUCAUCCCUGGAAUGAAAAAACCUAUUCCAAAAUGGUCCUCUGCCUGAUGGAGGAAAUAUGAU